rnacentral:rRNA from 1 species
ACGCUGACAGAAUGCUUAACACAUGCAAGUCUUUGGCGAAUCUGUGCUUGCACAGGCUAGCCAAGGCGGACGGGUGAGUAACGCGUAAAGAACUUGCCCUGCAGACAGGGAUAACAGACGGAAACGACUGACAACACCUGAUACAGUUGCCGGCACGCAUGUGCCUGGCAAUGAAAAGAGAUGCUGCGGGAGAGCUUUGCGUCCUAUUAGCUUGUUGGCGGGGUAACGGCCCACCAAGGCGAUGAUAGGUAGCCGGCCUGAGAGGGUGAACGGCCACAAGGGGACUGAGAUACGGCCCUUACUCCUACGGGAGGCAGCAGUGGGGAAUAUUGGACAAUGGGGGCAACCCUGAUCCAGCAAUUCUGUGUGCACGAUGAAGGUUUUCGGAUUGUAAAGUGCUUUCAGCAGGGAAGAAGGAAGUGACGGUACCUGCAGAAGAAGCGACAGCUAAAUACGUGCCAGCAGCCGCGGUAAUACGUAUGUCGCAAGCGUUAUCCGGAAUUAUUGGGCAUAAAGGGCAUCUAGGCGGCCAGGCAAGUCUGGGGUGAAAACUUGCGGCUCAACCGCAAGCCUGCCCUGGAAACUGCCUGGCUAGAGUGCUGGAGAGGUGGACGGAACUGCACGAGUAGAGGUGAAAUUCGUAGAUAUGUGCAGGAAUGCCGAUGAUGAAGAUAGUUCACUGGACGGCAACUGACGCUGAAGUGCGAAAGCUGGGGGAGCGAACAGGAUUAGAUACCCUGGUAGUCCCAGCCGUAAACGAUGAUUACUGGGUGUGGGCAUGAAGAGUGUCCGUGCCCAAACAAAUGCGAUAAGUAAUCCGCCUGGGGAGUACGGCCGCAAGGCUGAAACUCAAAGGAAUUGACGGGGACCCGCACAAGCGGUGGAGCAUGUGGUUUAAUUCGACGCAACG